rnacentral:rRNA from 1 species
UAGGGAAUCUUCGGCAAUGGACGAAAGUCUGACCGAGCAACGCCGCGUGAGUGAAGAAGGUUUUCGGAUCGUAAAACUCUGUUGUUAGAGAAGAACGUUGCAUAGAGUGGAAAAUUAUGCAAGUGACGGUAUCUAACCAGAAAGGGACGGCUAACUACGUGCCAGCAGCCGCGGUAAUACGUAGGUCCCGAGCGUUGUCCGGAUUCAUUGGGCGUAAAGCGAGCGCAGGUGGUUUAAUAAGUCUGAUGUAAAAGGCAGUGGCUCAACCAUUGUGUGCAUUGGAAACUGUUAGACUUGGGUGCAGUAGAGGAGAGUGGAAUUCCAUGUGUAGCGGUGAAAUGCGUAGAUAUAUGGAGGAACACCGGUGGCGAAAGCGGCUCUCUGGACUGUCACUGACACUGAGGCUCGAAAGCGUGGGUAGCAAACAGGAUUAGAUACCCUGGUAGUCCACGCCGUAAACGAUGAGUGCUAGUUGUUUGGGGCUAUCCAGCCCUAAGUGACGCAGCAAACGCAUUAAGCACUCCGCCUGGGGAGUACGACCGCAAGGUUGAAAC